rnacentral:rRNA from 1 species
UACGUAGGGUGCAAGCGUUGUCCGGAAUUAUUGGGUGUAAAGAGCUCGUAGGUGGCGGGUCACGUCGGGUGUGAAAGCCCGGGGCUUAACCCCGGGUCUGCAUUCGAUACGGGCUUGCUAGGGUCCGGCAGGGGAGACUGGAAUUCCUGGUGUAGCGGUGAAAUGCGCAGAUAUCAGGAGGAACACCGAUGGCGAAGGCAGGUCACUGGGCCGCAAGCUGACGCUGAGGAGCGAAAGCAUGGGGAGCGAACAGG